rnacentral:lncRNA from 1 species
CAGACCAUAUAUUGCAUGAUGGCAACCAGAUGAUUUACAUGAAAUAGAACCGGCUACUUUCUGCAUUGGCAAUGGCUUCUUCAACAUGUAGUUACUCAUGCUUAUGCUUUUACUAGUACAGAGGCUGGACUAGAAUGAACCACUUUCUUUCUUCUCCAGUGACACUGGGUGCUUCCUACAGUGUUAAAACAGGAGGCUCCUGAGACAUCACGGUCCUACCUCCCGCAAGGAAGGCUGCAACCCCCAGAGUGACCUGUGUACAUACCUGUCUUCACAGCUGGAAAGAACUUAAUGCAUCUAUGUAAACUGAUUAAGAAUUACAAAUCACAACGAUGAAACCAUCAAGGAAAUUCCUUUAAUAAGUUCCACAUAUAUUUUCAAGGCCAUAUAUUGUUUUUCUCAUAAAUGACACUCCUGAGAGGAAAACGGUGUUGUCCUCAAGUGCUGAGGCCUAGGGAAUCUCAAUGACUUGCUCAGUUUCACGUUCUAUUAAGUGGCAGAACCCAGGAAAGUCUGACUCCAGUGUUCUUGCUCUUCACAAUGCAUUAAACUAGUGGUGAUGAGGAAAACACAAUCAGAAAAAUCACUGAUUUGCUUAUUGCAUUAUUCUUGCAGAGAGACCCAGGAUCUGUCAAUUAUUUGUUCCCUACACAAUAUU